CCUACGGGAGGCAGCAGUGGGGAAUAUUGGACAAUGGGGGGAACCCUGAUCCAGCCAUGCCGCGUGUGUGAAGAAGGCCCUCGGGUUGUAAAGCACUUUCAGUGAGGAAGAACGCCUGGUGGUUAAUACCCAUCAGGAAAGACAUCACUCACAGAAGAAGCACCGGCUAACUCCGUGCCAGCAGCCGCGGUAAUACGGAGGGUGCGAGCGUUAAUCGGAAUUACUGGGCGUAAAGCGCGCGUAGGUGGCUUGAUAAGCCGGUUGUGAAAGCCCCGGGCUCAACCCGGGAACGGCAUCCGGAACUGUCAAGCUAGAGUGCAGGAGAGGAAGGUAGAAUUCCCGGUGUAGCGGUGAAAUGCGUAGAGAUCGGGAGGAAUACCAGUGGCGAAGGCGGCCUUCUGGACUGACACUGACACUGAGGUGCGAAAGCGUGGGUAGCAAACAGGAUUAGAUACCCCGGUAGUC
rnacentral:rRNA from 1 species